UACGGAGGAUGCGAGCGUUAUCCGGAAUUAUUGGGUUUAAAGGGUGCGUAGGCGGCUUUUUAAGUCAGCGGUGAAAUUUUGCAGCUUAACUGUAACAGUGCCGUUGAUACUGGGGAGCUAGGAUUUGGUUGCUGUGGGUGGAAUGUGUGGUGUAGCGGUGAAAUGCUUAGAGAUCACACAGAAUAUCGAUUGCGAAGGCAGCUCACAAAGCCAAGAUUGACGCUGAGGCACGAAAGUGUGGGGAUCAAACAGGAUUAGA
rnacentral:rRNA from 1 species